UGGGUAGCAAACAGGAUUAGAUACCCUGGUAGUCCAUACCGUAAACGAUGAAUGCUAAGUGUGGGAGGGUUUCCGCCCUUUCAGUGCUGCAGCUAACGCAUUAAGCAUUCCGCCUGGGGAGUACGGCCGCAAGGCUGAAACUCAAAGGAAUUGACGGGGGCCCGCACAAGCGGUGGAGCAUGUGGUUUAAUUCGAAGCUACGCGAAGAACCUUACCAGGUCUUGACAUACUAUGCAAAUCUAAGAGAUUAGACGUUCCCUUCGGGGACAUGGAUACAGGUGGUGCAUGGUUGUCGUCAGCUCGUGUCGUGAGAUGUUGGGUUAAGUCCCGCAACGAGCGCAACCCUUAUUAUCAGUUGCCAGCAUUAAGUUGGGCACUCUGGUGAGACUGCCGGUGACAAACCGGAGGAAGGUGGGGAUGACGUCAAAUCAUCAUGCCCCUUAUGACCUGGGCUACACACGUGCUACAAUGGAUGGUACAACGAGUUGCGAACUCGCGAGAGUAAGCUAAUCUCUUAAAGCCAUUCUCAGUUCGGAUUGUAGGCUGCAACUCGCCUACAUGAAGUCGGAAUCGCUAGUAAUCGCGGAUCAGCAUGCCGCGGUGAAUACGUUCCCGGGCCUUGUACACACCGCCCGUCACACCAUGAGAGUUUGUAACACCCAAAGUCGGUGGGGUAACCUUUUAGGAACCAGCCGCCUAAGGUGGGACAGAUGAUUAGGGU
rnacentral:rRNA from 2 species